AAAUUUUUAAAGAAAAUAAGGAGAAUGUAUCAGCUAGCUAUUGCUGCAUAACAAACUAUAACAAAAUUUAAGUGACUCAAAACUGUCACUAUUUAUUUGUUCAUGUUUCUGCAGACUGACAAUUUAGGUGAGGGUCAGCAGUUUAAUCAUUAAAACAUGUAUGAGUUACUUCUUAUGGUCUUUAAGAAAAUGAGAUUUCACAAUGCCUGCACUUGUAGGAGAAAUUGAAUCUGUUUACUGAAGUGAAUUGAUUCUUUAGAAAAAAAAAUCAGAUCUAUACACCAUGGAAGGCUUUAGGGAAAAAACACGAGUAGACGACCAAAGUUGAGAUACCAAUAUUCUUCUCACUCUUUAUCCAUUAAACAUUAUUGCUUCACAGCCCUGUAAGUAAGAGGCAGGGAUCAAUUAUUCUUUCUGCCUAAGACCUCCUUUCAAUUGCAGAUCCCUUCUUUUCUCCCUAGGACAAGAAGCCAGAAGCAGGAUAAAAGAAACUUGCCAACUGAUAUUGGUCUCCAAUUUCUACUAAACAGAAUAGUGAAGGAGGAACAGGAGCCCAAUGAGUAUUCACAGGUGAAAUCUUAUUUUAUAGAAGUGCUGCCUCAUUCACCUUUCUCUUAACUACCAGUCAUCACAUUGAAGACACCAAAGAGCCGUCAUGAGCCUUAACUGAGAAAGUGCCAUAACAAGGUGAAAUACUGCAAGGGCCAGUCCAAGCAUCACUUCCGAGCUGUCACCAAGCAUUCCCU
rnacentral:lncRNA from 1 species